ensembl:lncRNA
GAAAUAUUAGUUAUAGUGAAAACAAGGCUGGUGAUUUUCCAAGAUCAGAAAGCUGUUAAAGAAUCAAUAAGAAAAUGCUGUGCAGCACUGAACAUCGGACCUGACAUGGAGCAAGAGAAUAAGAGGCAUUUUCUUUCUUGGCUCCUUUCCUCCAGGCUGCCUGCCUAAGCCUGACAUCCAAAACAAGGAAGCUGGCAGCUGCAAGCCCAGAUGGAGAGGAUCUCUGGGCUCUAGCAGAUGUCAGAACGAGCAUACAGUUGGCCCUCCAUAUCUGCGGGUUCCACAUCCACAGAUUCAACAAGCUGCAGAUAGAAAACAAUAGAAAAAAAUUCCAGAAAGUUCCAAAUGGCAAAAUUUGAAUGUGCCACACCCCAGCAACUAUUUAUGUAACAUUUACAUUGUACUCAGCACUAUAAAUAAUCUAGAGACAAUUUUGGUAUCCACAGGAGGUCCUGGAACCAACACUCCACAAAGGAUAAAGGAUGAUUAUAAUGAACACAUCAUCAGUCCUUGGAUUUUUCAUGGUCCCAAAAUAAAC